AGGGGGCACCUGAUCCUUCAUGCCGCGUGAGUGAAGAAGGCCUUCGGGUUGUAAAGCUCUUUUGUCAGGGAAGAAACACCGGCUCUAACACAGUCCGGGAAUGACGGUACCUGAAGAAUAAGCACCGGCUAACUACGUGCCAGCAGCCGCGGUAAUACGUAGGGUGCGAGCGUUAAUCGGAAUUACUGGGCGUAAAGCGUGCGCAGGCGGUUAUACAAGACAGGCGUGAAAUCCCCGGGCUUAACCUGGGAAUGGCGCCUGUGACUGUAUAGCUAGAGUGUGUCAGAGGGGGGUAGAAUUCCACGUGUAGCAGUGAAAUGCGUAGAUAUGUGGAGGAAUACCAAUGGCGAAGGCAGCCCCCUGGGAUAACACUGACGCUCAUGCACGAAAGCGUGGGGAGCAAACAGGAUUAGAUACCCUGGUAGUCCACGCCCUAAACGAUGCUGACUAGUUGUUCGGGAUUUACAUCCUGAGUAACGUAGCUAACGCGUGAAGUCAGCCGCCUGGGGAGUACGGUCGCAAGAUUAAAACUCAAAGGAAUUGACGGGGACCCGCACAAGCGGUGGAUGAUGUGGAUUAAUUCGAUGCAACGCGAAAAACCUUAGCUACCCUUGACAUGUCACUAACGAAGUAGAGAUACCUUAGGUGCUCGUACGA
rnacentral:rRNA from 1 species